GAUUAAGAGAAGGCAGGCUGCCUUGCUGAAGCUAUGUGGUCUUCAAGUGAGAGUUGCAGGCAAUAGAACUACUUUCCUUUUGGAGUAAAAGGAGGAAUUCAUUUUCAGUAGCCACAAGAAAAGUUUUUUUUUUUUCCAGGGUGGCUGGCAAAAUGGCCAAAUAGUAACAGCUCCAGUCUGCAGCUCCCAGUAAGAUCUACACACAAGGCGGGUGAUUUCUGCAUUUCCAACUGAGUAGGAUUCUUAGUCCCUGUACUUGUGCUAACUUCAAGUUCCUUCGGUGGAUUUUAGUUCAUCUCAGCUGUGCUGAAGGAGAAACAAGGCCACACAGUCUUGUCACCUCUGCUCUGGGUGUGAGGACAGCAUGGAGAUCAUCAGGUCAACGCAAGUAAGAUGAGGACUUGGGCCAGGAAGCAGAGAGAAUGCUGGGCCGCUGUCCUUUUCUUCAUGGGAUGGUGUUUAGACAACAUUCUCUGG
rnacentral:lncRNA from 10 species